UUGCGCUAAACAAACAGAAAAUAUAAACAAUUUGCUAUUUUCGUUUAGCAAGGGGUGAAAUUUAAUCUUUUUCAUCCAUGUCCUCAGACUUCUGCGCUUUUUCGUUACGCUACUCUUGUUAUGGAGUUCUCUUCUGAAUUCGAUCAUGGAAUUAGGGCUCAGGUUUCGUCUCAUUCUUCGAGAGUUAGAGGAAAGUGUUGACCUAUCUUCUACUUCUAAGCUAUGGUUCGCCAGUCUGAUUUCGAUUGAUCCGAUAAUCAGGUCCGAAAUAUACGGUUCUUCCUGAAGACAGAAGGCAUAAACUGUGGAAAAGGUUGAAAACUUCAGCACUUGGCUGAUGGAUAGAUGCAAUAAUGGUUCUUCCCUCUCUUUGACGUGAAAUUCCGCUCAUCACGUAAUAAGAUGCAGCACUGUCGAGGCCACUGGUUGGUUCAUCAAGGAAAAGAAGUUUUGGCCGCGUUAGAAUCUCCAUGCAAACACUAAGUCUUCUCUUUUCUCCUCCACUAAUUCCUUUAUUACCAAAUCCUCCAAUUCUUGUGUUCAUUGCAUCUUGCAACCCCAUCUCCUUGAUAGUCUGCUCUGCUAUUUGUUUUUUCUCUGAUUUUGUCAUGGAAACUGGGAGUUGGAGUUGUGCAGAGUAGUAAACUGCUUCUUGAACUGUUAGUGUUGCUAACAGAGUUUCAUCUUGAGUCACAUAUGCCUGAUUUUAUAGGAUAAAGAACAUUACCAUGCAUGCUAAUAAAAAAAAUAUAGUAAUCUUAUUGUGAAAAAAGGAAAACAAAAUGAGUAGUGCAUGCGGCAUUCAGCUGAAGAUUUUAAUUUCUUACAGAUGUUCCAUACGAAAGUUUCUGUUUGUGACCAUUGAUCAGAAUUUCCCCGCUCUGCCUCGUGCUGAAAUCCAGUCUCCCUGAGAGGUGUUCAUCAGUAAUACUUCCAGCACUCUUCAAUGGAUCAUGACAUGAUUCGUCCGCGGAGAAGCAAGCCUUGUCCACCACCAACACCACUUGAAGAUUCAUUACCACCACCAAUAUCACCAUCAUUAUGGCCAUGUCAUCGGCCACCACGACCCCCAUUACACGUCAGAAACUACUACUGGAACGAUAACUUGGACCGAUCCUCGAGAAUGCAGAGAGGGGAGAGCCUUGAUGUGGGCUAUAGAAUGAAUUAUCGUGACCCUUUGAAUGACUUUCAUGAGGAUCAUACUCUACGUCAUUGCAUGGCAUUGCAUCCGCCUGGACCACCGCCAAUGCUAAUGGGGCACCACCGCGGACAACCAUCCCCGCUGUUGGAGCAUCAAGGUGAACCACCAACAUCCUGUUUUCCUCCAAGGGGUGAUUAUGGUUACCAACAUAGCUAUGAGAAUCCAAAUGGUUGCACAAUUAUGUGAUGUUUUCUCUCUAGAUAUACAGUUUCUAUAUCAACCUUUGGUUGUUCUAAUAUAUACUAGAGAGGAAAGACUUAUUAGAAAUCAUUGAACAAUAAAUGUGCUCUCUUCAUUACAUCA